rnacentral:tRNA from 1 species
GCCGAAGUGGUGGAAUAGGUAGACACGCACGCUUGAGGGGCGUGUGGGGCAACCCGUGGGAGUUCAAGUCUCCCCUUCGGCACCA